rnacentral:rRNA from 1 species
AAACUGCGAAUGGCUCAUUAAAUCAGUUAUCGUUUAUUUGAUAGUACCUUACUACUUGGAUAACCGUGGUAAUUCUAGAGCUAAUACAUGCGAAAAACCCCGACUUCGGAAGGGGUGUAUUUAUUAGAUAAAAAACCAAUGCCCUUCGGGGCUUCCUGGUGAUUCAUAAUAACUUAACGAAUCGCAUGGCCUUGCGCCGGCGAUGGUUCAUUCAAAUUUCUGCCCUAUCAACUUUCGAUUGUAGAGUAGUGGUCUACAAUGGUUUCAACGGGUAACGGGGAAUUAGGGUUCGACUCCGGAGAGGGAGCCUGAGAAACGGCUACCACAUCCAAGGAAGGCAGCAGGCGCGCAAAUUACCCAAUCCCGACACGGGGAGGUAGUGACAAUAAAUACUGAUACAGGGCUCUUUUGGGUCUUGUAAUUGGAAUGAGUACAAUUUAAAUCCCUUAACGAGGAACAACUGGAGGGCAAGUCUGGUGCCAGCAGCCGCGGUAAUUCCAGCUCCAGAAGCGUAUAUUAAAGUUGUUGCAGUUAAAAAGCUCGUAGUUGAAUUUUGGGCCUGGCUGGCCGGUCCGCCUCACCGCGUGCACUGGUCCGGCCGGGCCUUUCCUCCUGGGGAUCCGCAUGCCCUUCACUGGGUGUGUUGGGGAACCAGGACUUUUACUUUGAAAAAAUUAGAGUGUUCAAAGCAGGCCUUUGCUCGAAUACAUUAGCAUGGAAUAAUAGAAUAGGACGGCUUUCCUAUUUUGUUGGUUUCUAGGGAAGCCGUAAUGAUUAAUAGGGAUAGUCGGGGGCAUCAGUAUUCAAUUGUCAGAGGUGAAAUUCUUGGAUUUAUUGAAGACUAACUACUGCGAAAGCAUUUGCCAAGGAUGUUUUCAUUAAUCAGUGAACGAAAGUUAGGGGAUCGAAGACGAUCAGAUACCGUCGUAGUCUUAACCAUAAACUAUGCCGACUAGGGAUCGGGCGAUGUUACUAUCUUGACUCGCUCGGCACCUUACGAGAAAUCAAAGUUUUUGGGUC